rnacentral:rRNA from 1 species
UAGGGAAUCUUCGGCAAUGGGGGCAACCCUGACCGAGCAACGCCGCGUGAGUGAAGAAGGUUUUCGGAUCGUAAAGCUCUGUUGUAAGAGAAGAACGUGUGUGAGAGUGGAAAGUUCACACAGUGACGGUAACUUACCAGAAAGGGACGGCUAACUACGUGCCAGCAGCCGCGGUAAUACGUAGGUCCCGAGCGUUGUCCGGAUUUAUUGAGCGUAAAGCGAGCGCAGGCGGUUUAAUAAGUCUGAAGUUAAAGGCAGUGGCUUAACCAUUGUUCGCUUUGGAAAAUGUUAAACUUGAGUGCAGAAGGGGAGAGUGGAAUUCCAUGUGUAGCGGUGAAAUGCGUAGAUAUAUGGAGGAACACCGGUGGCGAAAGCGGCUCUCUGGUCUGUAACUGACGCUGAGGCUCGAAAGCGUGGGGAGCAAACAGG